AACUUUCAACAACGGAUCUCUUGGUUCUGGCAUCGAUGAAGAACGCAGCGAAAUGCGAUAAGUAAUGUGAAUUGCAGAAUUCAGUGAACCAUCGAAUCUUUGAACGCACAUUGCGCCCGCCAGUAUUCUGGCGGGCAUGCCUGUUCGAGCGUCAUU
rnacentral:rRNA from 4 species